GGGUGUCUAGUAUAGUGGUCAGUACACUUCGUUGUGGUUUACACAGUUUCCGAAGAAACCCAGGUUCGAUUCCUGGGACGCCCA
rnacentral:tRNA from 1 species